GAUGAACGCUGGCGGCGUGCCUAAUACAUGCAAGUCGAGCGAACAGACGAGGAGCUUGCUCCUCUGACGUUAGCGGCGGACGGGUGAGUAACACGUGGAUAACCUACCUAUAAGACUGGGAUAACUUCGGGAAACCGGAGCUAAUACCGGAUAAUAUAUUGAACCGCAUGGUUCAAUAGUGAAAGACGGUUUUGCUGUCACUUAUAGAUGGAUCCGCGCCGCAUUAGCUAGUUGGUAAGGUAACGGCUUACCAAGGCAACGAUGCGUAGCCGACCUGAGAGGGUGAUCAGCCACACUGGAACUGAGGCACGGUCCAGACUCCUACGGGAGGCAGCAGUAGGGAAUCUUCCGCAAUGGGCGAAAGCCUGACGGAGCAACGCCGCGGGAGUGAUGAAGGUCUUCGGAUCGUAAAACUCUGUUAUUAGGGAAGAACAAAUGUGUAAGUAACUAUGCACGUCUUGACGGUACCUAAUCAGAAAGCCACGGCUAGCUACGGG
rnacentral:rRNA from 1 species